UCUCUGUUGGUCUAGUGGUUAUGAUUUCCGCUUGUCAUCACGUGAGAAGCGCGGGAGACCGGGGUUCGAUUCCCCGACAGAGAG
rnacentral:tRNA from 1 species